CCCGCCGGGUCCUGCAGCCCUCCUGGGAUGGGCCCACAACCUCCUCUUCCUCUAGUCCCUGUCUGGGGGCGAGAGGACCUGCAGCUGGACCCGGUCCCUGUAUGGCCCCUUCACUUCCAGUUGUCUUGGUCGCCAGACCCUGUGCCCGCCUGGGUCUCUACUCUGUGAUCAGUCCGUGUAUCACUCUGUAUCUGUUCUCCCACGUCUCGUUCUUUGUCUGGAGAAAGCCGUCACCCACUCCUUUGGCCAUCUCAUUUUGAGAACCCGAGCGUUCUGCGACACUGCCCAGCCGGCACCCACCAGCAAUACCUCUUGUCCCGGCAGGACCAAGGGAGCCGGCCUCCAAUGGUCGGUGCGCCCUCGGAACAAAACCAGACCCCAGCCGCCCCCCACUCCGUGUAGGAAGGACCGCAGUGAAAUUGAGAAGAAACCUUGGGAGUGGGCGACGUUGGAACCAAUGUCUUGUCUCCUGGAGGCCAGUCCGGUGCUCAGACCUUUAGACUUCUUGUUGUUAAGUUGCCACUGCCGAUUGGAGACCAAGUGUGUGACUUGUCAAUUCGCAGUGAGACAGCAUUAAAGACUGAUGCCAAACCUCA